rnacentral:rRNA from 1 species
CAGACGAUGCGUCAUGCAUAUCAAUAAGCGGAGGAAAAGAAACUAACAAGGAUUCCCUCAGUAACGGCGAGUGAAGCGGGAAGAGCUCAAAUUUGAAAUCUUCAAGGUUUUACCUUGACGAAUUGUAGUUUAAAGAAGUGUUUUCUGUUGGAGUUUUGGUAAAAGUUCUUUGGAAAAGGACAUCAUAGAGGGUGAGAAUCCCGUAUUUGACCAUUAUCUCCAGCUUUGUGAUACACUUUCAAAGAGUCGGAUUGUUUGGGAAUGCAGUCCAAAAUGGGUGGUAAAUUUCAUCUAAAGCUAAAUACUGGCGAGAGACCGAUAGCGAACAAGUACCGUGAGGGAAAGAUGAAAAGAACUUUGAAAAGAGAGUUAAACAGUACGUGAAAUUGUCAAAAGGGAAGCGUUUGACACCAGUGUUGUUUUCUCGAAAAUCAAUUAAAAAAGGCCGGAUUUUGUGCUGUAUUGACUUUAUCAGCUUUCUGCACUCUUUUCCUGCUUUUUUAAUGCACUUUUCGUUUAACAAGUCAACAUCAAUUUCUUUUGUUGUAAAAGGGUCAUUGGAAGGUGGCUUUCUCUUCGGAGAAAGUGUUUAUAGCCUUUGAUCUCUGCAAUCGGAGAGGACUGAGGUCUGCAGCGUAGAUCCUUCGGGGUUAGAUACAUUUGUGCUAAGCUACAGCUUUUCAUAGACAACUUGUUGACUAUGUUUAGUCUUGUAACUUACCCGCUUAUGCUAUUUUACCUACGCUUAGGAUGUUGAUAUGCAUGACUGAUAU